rnacentral:rRNA from 1 species
AUUGAACGCUGGCGGCAGGCCUAACACAUGCAAGUCGAGCGAGAGGCGGACGGGUGAGUAAUGUCUGGGAAACUGCCUGAUGGAGGGGGAUAACUACUGGAAACGGCGGCUAAUACCGCAUACCAUCAGAUGCGCCCAGAUGGGAUUAGCUAGUAGGUGGGGUAACGGCUCACCUAGGCGACGAUCCCUAGCUGGUCUGAGAGGAUGACCAGCAAAACUGAAACUGCGACACGGUCCAGACUCGUACGUGAGGCAGCAGUGGGGAGUAUUGCACAAUGGGCGCAAGCCUGAGACAGCCAUGCCGCGUGUGUGAAGAAGGCCUUCGGGUUGUAAAGCACUUUCAGCGGGGAGGCGUUACCCGCAGAAGAAGCACCGGCUAACUCCGUGCCAGCAGCCGCGGUAAUUC